GAUGAACGCUGGCGGCGUGCCUAAUACAUGCAAGUCGAGCGAACGAACGAGAAGCUUGCUUCUCUUAUGUUAGCGGCGGACGGGUGAUUAACAGGUGGAUACCCUAUCGAUGGGGCUGGGGUAAGUUCAGGAGACCGGAGCUAAUACCGGAUGAGAGUUUGAACGGGAUGGUUCAAAAGUGAAAGACGGUCUUGCUGUCACUUAUAGAUGGAUCCGCGCUGCAUUAGCUAGUUGGUAAGGUAACGGCUUACCAAGGCAACGAUGCAUAGCCGACCUGAGAGGAUGAUCAGCCACACUGGAACUGAGACACGGUCCAGACUCCUACGGGAGGCAGCAGUAGGGAAUCUUCCGCAAUGGGCGAAAGCCUGAUGCAGCAACGCCGCGUGAGUGAUGAAGGUCUUCGGAUCGUAAAACUCUGUAAGUUGGGAAGAACAUAAGUGUAAGUAACUGUGCACAUCUUGACGUUACCUACACAGUAAGCCACGGCUAACUACGUG
rnacentral:rRNA from 1 species